UGGUGGGUAGUUUGACUGGGGCGGUCUCCUCCCAAAGAGUAACGGAGGAGCACGAAGGUUGGCUAAUCCUGGUCGGACAUCAGGAGGUUAGUGCAAUGGCAUAAGCCAGCUUGACUGCGAGCGUGACGGCGCGAGCAGGUGCGAAAGCAGGUCAUAGUGAUCCGGUGGUUCUGAAUGGAAGGGCCAUCGCUCAACGGAUAAAAGGUACUCCGGGGAUAACAGGCUGAUACCGCCCAAGAGUUCAUAUCGACGGCGGUGUUUGGCACCUCGAUGUCGGCUCAUCACAUCCUGGGGCUGAAGUAGGUCCCAAGGGUAUGGCUGUUCGCCAUUUAAAGUGGUACGCGAGCUGGGUUUAGAACGUCGUGAGACAGUUCGGUCCCUAUCUGCCGUGGGCGCUGGAGAAUUGAGGGGGGCUGCUCCUAGUACGAGAGGACCGGAGUGGACGCAUCACUGGUGUUCGGGUUGUCAUGCCAAUGGCACUGCCCGGUAGCUAAAUGCGGAAGAGAUAAGUGCUGAAAGCAUCUAAGCACGAAACUUGCCCCGAGAUGAGUUCUCCCUGAGACUUUAAGUCUCCUGAAGGAACGUUGAAGACGACGACGUUGAUAGGUCGGGUGUGUAAGCGCAGCGAUGCGUUGAGCUAACCGAUACUAAUGAACCGUGAGG
rnacentral:rRNA from 2 species